AUGAUACUUUUUUUGACCGUUUGAAGCUGUUGUAAAGAACGAGACUGACUGAAGCUUUGCCUCAUAAGCUUGUAGGACCGAGAAUUGGAAGGAAGAAGGAAGCUGGUGUUGGUGGUGAAGUUUAGGGAGUUGAGAAGAGGGCUGGCAAGCCUAGGAGGAAGCUGAAAGGAAGAUCCUUUGUUUGCAAGUUAGGGGUUUGUAAAGUGGUGGAUGUGUUGGUGGCGGAGCCAAAUUUAGUUGAGGCAAUUGGCCAGGAAUGUAACAAAGUUUUGAGAUGUGGUGGUGGUAGUGGUGUGGAUGAGGUUGUUGAUUUCACGGAAAUGCUUUCUGGGUUUUGUUUAUAUAUUGAAGAUAGAGUGGAUUGUGGAACCAAGCUGUAUCACCAAAAGUAAUCCAGAUGCCGCCAUUAGGUAUUCUCCGACGCAAGAAUGUGGCAGAUGGCAUUGGGAAUGAAAGAGAGAAUGCUUGAAGCUGGUGUUACUGCAAAUACUUUUACAUGGUCAUCAUGACAUCAUUAAUAAAUGCAUGGUGAAAGCAGGUCUGGUGGAUCAAGCAUAUGUAUUAUUUGAAGAGAUGUUUUUGGCUGGUUACAUGCCAAAUGCACAGUGUUGCAAUAUUCUCCUUUAUGCUGUGUUAAGACUUUCCGUCUAAUUCAGUCCUGGAAAGGCAAUAGACAAAAUUUGAUACAAGAAAGCUCGCUAGCUCCUAUGAAAGUGCCUUUCAAACCUACGAUUUCGACAUAUAAUGUAGUUGGUACUCACGAAGGCUUGUGGCAUUGAUUAAUUCUUUUGCACAAUCGUUAAUGGAUGAAAUGGAGACAGUUGGCCUUAGCCCUAAUCAUAUAACUGGUCAACUUUGAUUGGUGUUUAUGGAGGCUCCGGGGAUGUAAAGAAUGCUCUACAUGUAAGAGCCAUAGUGAGGUUGAAGCACAAAUUGUCGUCCUUGCAGUUUAACGGAUGAUAAAGAGAACUACCGUCUAGGAGAGUUGAUAAGUGAUGACAUGUUUAUAAUCUUGGGUGUCCAAGAAGUUGGUGCAGCUGCAGAUAAAAGUCAAUUUGCUGUAAAAGAGACUAUAAUUAAACUUCUACAUGAUACCCUAGGCCUCAAGGUUUUCUCAUUAGGACCUAAAAAGAAUGAGAUCACCACCAGCAUCACCCACUAGAAGGCCAGUGGUUUUGCAGAGGGUGAAGGUGACAAGAAAGUCCGUGUACCAAUGGUAACAGAGGAAGUCAGUAAAUAGAAGGCAAGUAUUUAAUACUUUUGUACCAACAAUUGACAUUUUGUAGAUAGGUUUUCGCAUUUUCUUUCAACAUUGAUGAUAUUGCAAUAAGUUGUAGGCUUGUAGCACUACUCUAUCAUUCACUCUAAUGAAUAUAAAUAAAAAUCACUUCUAUAUUUUUAUCAA